GACGAACGCUGGCGGCGUGCCUAACACAUGCCAGUCGAACGGUAAGGCCCCUGCCAGGGUCCGCCUUAGUCGCACACGUGUGUGUCACGUGUGCACCCUCCCCCUUUCAUUGGGGGACACCCCUGAAAAGCGGGCUAAUAUCCCGCAUAAUGCCCUUUCACCUCAUGGUUGGGGUCCCGCCUUCGGGUUGGUGGGAGAUGGUCCCGCGUCUUACUGCCUGGUUGGGGGGGUAACGGCUCCCCAAGGCUCCGCUGGGUAGCCGGCCUGAGAGGGUGACCGGGCACACUGGGACUGAGAGACGGCCCAGAGUCCUACGGGAGGCAGCAGUGGGGAAUAUUGGACAAUGGGCGAAAGCCUGAUCCAGCAACGCCGCGUGAGGGAUGACGGCCUUCGGGUUGUAAACCUCUUUCGCCUGAGACGAAGCGAGAGUGACGGUAGCAGGUAAAGAAGCCCCGGCCAACUACGUG
rnacentral:rRNA from 1 species